ACACAGCUUUGCCAAGCUCUCACCUCCCCAUGCUGGAACAACCACUACUUUGUCCUUCUCCCCAGCCCUUUCACACUUUGGGGCUUCCCCUUCUCUCAUCCCAAGACCAGAGAGGCGGGAGAAGGCAGGGGCAGGAGCAGGGAGGGGCUAAGAAAACAAGGAACCCUUUCACCAGACUGUCUGCUGCAAAAACUUGACUGGGGUUUUCUUGGCAAAGAUACUGGCGUGGUUUACCAGUUCCUGCUCCGGUGGCCUAACGCAGACAGAGAAACCCCAGAAGACGUCACAAGUAGGCAGCCCAUCUGGUCCAAACUCCUUCAUUGGACAGAUGAGAAACUGAGGCUCUGGAGUCUGGCAAAGUUCUUGCUACUCUGAUGUACUUGUGCAGGACAUAAAGCCCUCACAACCAAACGCAGAAAAGCAGAAAAUAGUAAAUACUCCCUUUUCGGAUCAUAAUGUAAUAAAAAUUAUAUUCAAUA